AACAGAAGCUCAUCCAGCUUGCGGUGCCUGCCUCCACCUGUCAGUGGAUCACCAGCUUCCUGACCAACAGGAGACAGCGUGUGAGGCUGGGGGGGCAUCACAUCUGACACCCGGACCACCAACACUGGAGCCCCUCAGGGCUCCUGAAGUAUGCAGACAACACCACUCUCAUCGGACUGAUCCAGGACGGUGAUGAGACUGCGUACAGACAGGAGGUGGAGCGGCUGGUCCACUGGUGCAGUCAAAACCAUCUGGAGCUGAACCCGCUCAAGACCGUGGAGAUGACAGUGGAUUUCAGGCGAGACCCUUCACCACUUUUACCCCUCACUAGCCGCAGUAAUACUAUUCUCUCCACAGACACCUUCAAGUUCCUGGGAACCACAAUCUCUCGGGACCUGAAAUGGACCGGCCACAUAGACUCUGUCCGGAAGAUGGCCCAGCAGAGGCUGUACUUCCUGAGACAGCUCAAGAAGUUCAACCUGCCGCGAGAGCUUCUGACGACCUUCUACACUGCCAUCAUCCAGUCUGUCCUCUGCACCUCCAUCACUGUCUGGUUUGGAUCGGCCUCCAAACAAGACAAGCACAGACUACAACGGACAAUCAGAACUGCAGAAAAGAUCAUUGGAAUCAACCUCCCAUCUAUCCAAGACUUGUACCUGUCCAGGACCAGGAAUCGGGCAAGGAACAUCUCUACAGACCCUUCUCACCCAGGUUGCAGUCUGUUUGAACUACUCCCCUCCGGACGGCGUUAUAGAGCUCGGUACGCCAAAACCAGCAGACGCAGAGACAGCUUCUUCCCCCAGGCUGUUGCUCUGAUGAACUCACACCACCCAUAGAGUCUCAGAGACAUUACUGUGCAAUAACAUCCUGCUCUUAACACCUUUUUGAAUUUGUCUACACUGUUUUUGCCAUUAUUCACAUGUCCUGAAUGUUGUUAGUCACCUAAAUGUUGAACAGAGGGUGUGUUUUUACCAAAGUCAAAUUCCUUGUUUGGCACGCUCAAACAUGGCAAAUAAAAAACUCUUGAAUCUUGAA